rnacentral:rRNA from 1 species
GACGAAGGGGGCUAGCGUUGUUCGGAAUUACUGGGCGUAAAGCGCGUGUAGGCGGUUGCCCAAGUCGGGUGUGAAAGCCUUGAGCUCAACUCAAGAAAUGCACUCGGUACUGGGUGACUAGAGGACCGGAGAGGAUAGUGGAAUUCCCAGUGUAGUGGUGAAAUACGUAGAGAUUGGGAAGAACACCAGUGGCGAAGGCGGCUAUCUGGACUGCAUCUGACACUGAGGAACGAAAGCCAGGGGAGCAAACGGG